rnacentral:tRNA from 1 species
GCCUGGCUGGCUCAGUUAGUAGAGCGUGUGAUUUUUGAUCUCCGGGUUGUGAGUUCAACUCCCACGCUGGCUG